GCCGGGCACAGUGGCCCACGCCUGUAAUCCCAGCAGCCCAGGAGGCUGAGGCAGGAGGAUCGCGAGUUCAAAGCCAGCCUCAGCAAUGGCGAGGUACCAAGCAACUCAGUGAGACCCUGCCUCUA
rnacentral:sRNA from 1 species